CUGGUUCUGAGGUGGAAUGGGUUCAUCAUGUAUUCCUCUUACUGCUUUCAGAGCAUGUUGCGAUGGUCAAAUCUUCAACUGAGGCCCUGCAUGGUAGGACCAGACAGACCAUGUGCUCCUUUGAUCGUUAGCAUGGACUCGUUUGACAUCUUCAAAGGCAAUCAAGCUAAAACUGUCCACGACCGGACCACAGGAGUCACACGGGAGACCUAACAGACCUUUCAACAUGUUAGCUGGGGAGGAGAGAGACAGCUUAUUGAUGAGAGAGUUUAUUGAAGCUUUAGAGGCCAAAUCUGUUAUUGCUGUGGUGUCACACAGAGCAACCACAGGCAGCUAAGCAAGCCCCACUGUAAAGAACACAACAUUCUCAUUCCUGAAGUCUUCAGUCUUUUUCCCUCCAAUGAGAAAGGAUUACAAAGUGAAAAAUGAUACCCUCAUAAUGUAAAUGGUUGACGCCAUAAAAAUCACCUGUCCUCGGUUGCAACACUCCCCAACAUCAGCACAAUAACUGUUCAUCUGGAGCUUCAUGAAAUGGGUUUCCAUGGCCGAGCAGCCGCAUGGAAACCUAAGAUCACUAUCCGCAAUGCCAAGCAUCAGUUGGAGUGGUGUAAAGGUUGCCGCCAUUGGACUCUGGAGCAGUGGAAGCGCAUUCUCUAGAGUGAUUAAUCACUCUUCAUCGUCUGGGGCUGUUUUUCAUGGUUCGGGUUAGCCCCCUUAGUUCCAGUGAAGGGAAAUCUUAAUGCUACAGCAUACAAUGGCAUUAUAGACAAUUCUGUGCUUCCAAUUUUGUUGCAACAGUUUCGGAAAGGCCCUUUCCUGUUUCAGCAUGACAAUGCCCUCGUGCACAAAGCAAGGUCCAUACAGAAAUGGUUUGGCGAGAUCGGUGUGUAAGAACUUGACUGGCCUGAUCUUAACCCCAUCGAACACCUUUGGGAUGAAUUGGAACGCCGAUUGCAGGACUAAUUGCCCAACAUCAGUGCCUGACCUCACUAAUCCUCUUGUGCCUGAAUGGAAGUAAGUCCCCACAGCAAUGUUCCAAAAUCUAGUGGAAAGCCUUCUCAGAAGAUUGAAGGCUGUUCUAGCAGCAAAGGGGGGACCAACUCCAUAUUAAUACCAUGAUUUUGGAAUGAGAUGUUUGACGAGCAGGUGUCCACAUACUUUUGGUCAUGUAGUGUAUAAAGUGGCUAAACUACUAUGUAACAUUAUUAAAGUAACCCAUGUUCAAUUACUAUGUACAGUGACGGG
rnacentral:lncRNA from 1 species